rnacentral:lncRNA from 1 species
CUGCGUAAGAAGGUAGGAGGGCCUCACCCCUGCCAACGGUACCUUCUGAGCCUAGUUCCUCACUGGCCACUGUUUUUGGAAGUCCUCUUUGCAGAACUGGCCUCAAAGGCUCAAGGUCAAAGCACCCCCAUGAGCUGCUUUGGAAAAAGAGAUUUCAUCUGACAACAAGGGAGGUGGCUGAGCCAGGAACUUGUGAUGUCACUGGGCUUCUGGGCCAGCAGGAGGCUGAGAGGCACAAAUGUAGAGAAAUACAAAGGUUCCCUCUUGUUUAAAUUAAGCAAAUUAAGAGGAAGUGGCCUGAAUUCCGUCUGUGGGCACCGUUUGCACAGAUGUGGUGGCCACAGAAGCCACUCACCCUGCCCCAUCGCCUGAGGCAAGGAUGAGCCUGGUGGUGCCAGGCGCCGCUCUGAGACGUGGGACCCUCUCCCACUCUGUGGACCUCCCGACCCCUGAAUGCCUCUUGGAUGAGCAGAGGUGGUGGCCUCGGGCUGAGCCGGGCAGUUUCCAGGCCAGGCUGGAACGGGUGGCUCCCUCCUCUCCAUUCUGGCCAAAGCCUGUCCCGACGGCGGCUCGGGUAUGGCUGGAGUUGGAGUUAUUGGGUCCUUUGUCACUGAUCUGGCUGCUGGCCAGGAACUGGGACACUGAGGCCACGGCAUGGGGACAGGAGGAUCUGCCCACGUAAUGCACCUCGUGGACCUGUGGGGGCUGGUCCCCAAAGCAGCACCCAUCAUUUGGGAUUAUGGUCAACUGCAUCUAACAGAAGCCCAACUUUGGCAGUUUAAACAAACAGGGGGACAGAGAGGCAGCAUUGGGAAGAAGCGACUCCUGAGGACGUCAGUGGGAUCUCAGACUCACUCCCGCCCGACCACCUGUUGCUAGACCUCACGGCCACAAAGUGGCUGCCACCCCUCCAAGCAUCACACCCACAUUCCAACAGGGAGAGGGAACAGGGCAAUGGCUAAGUCAGAAAGCCUGAGCCUCUCCCAGAAAUCCCCAGGGACUUGACACAAGGUCAUGCGUUGACACAAGGUCACAUGUCACUGCAAGGGCAUCUGGGGAGUGUGGUUUCUAAAGCUGUCCUGCUAAACUCCACACCAAAUCCGGUCUGCUAGGAAGCAAAGGGGAGGGUGGGCCCAGUGGACUGCUGAUGGCUGCUGCCACAGCCCGGGGAGAGAACAGAGCACAGCCCUCCAUCACAAGGGCCAGGCAGGGAGGGCACGAGACGCCCGGGUGGAGAAGGCGGCUGCACACAAGUGAAAAUGGCCAUUUUGAGUUCUCAAUCCACUAACCUCAUUCCCCGGGGAGCGGAGCUGGCAUUGGACAUCAUGUGUGACUGGUCCUGGUGUGAAUUCUCCCCAGGGAGCAGAGCCUGCAUUGGACAGCACACGGGACUGGUCCCAGUCUGAGCUCUCGGAGGAGUGGCGUUCACAUCCUCAGCGUUUUGUCUGUAAUUAUUACACUUAGUCCAGGUGUAAUUACCCAUAAUUUGAGGAGGAAAGCGGUCAUGUAUUUACCUUGUAAUUUGCGGUUGCACCUUAGACUGAUGUGCUGCCUUUUCCUGCGGAAAGCUCCGGAACCCUUGAAGAAUCUGCGAGCGUCCCUGCUGCCUGGGGUGGGUCCACUGUACAAGCUGCUCUCCUGGGCUGUGUCCUGGGGACAGCUCAGGUCUGGACUUUGGCCCAACCCACGCAGCCCCGCCCGGACCUGUUCCCACCUGGCCAAGCUCCCUGCUGGCUCCUCUCCCCUGGGCUGCCUUCACCCGCACACUGAGUGACCCGACGCCCGCUGCACAGAA